CCUACGGGUGGCAGCAGUGGGGGAUAUUGCACAAUGGGGGGAACCCUGAUGCAGCGACGCCGCGUGGGUGAAGAAGCGCCUCGGCGCGUAAAGCCCUGUCAGCAGGGAAGAAACUGACGGUACCUGAAGAAGAAGCCCCGGCUAACUACGUGCCAGCAGCCGCGGUAAUACGGAGGAUGCGAGCGUUAUCCGGAUUUAUUGGGUUUAAAGGGUGCGUAGGCGGACUGGAAAGUCAGCGGUAAAAUCGAGAGGCUCAACCUCUUUCCGCCGUUGAAACUGUCGGUCUUGAGUGGGCGAGAAGUAUGCGGAAUGCGUGGUGUAGCGGUGAAAUGCAUAGAUAUCACGCAGAACUCCGAUUGCGAAGGCAGCAUACCGGCGCCCGACUGACGCUGAGGCACGAAAGCGUGGGUAUCGAACAGGAUUAGAUACCCGGGUAGUC
rnacentral:rRNA from 1 species